UUUAAGGGUCCUGAAGGAACGUUGAAGACGACGACGUUGAUAGGCCGGGUGUGUAAGCGCAGCGAUGCGUUGAGCUAACCGGUACUAAUGAACCGUGAGGCUUAACCUU
rnacentral:rRNA from 1 species